rnacentral:lncRNA from 1 species
UUGCAUUAAUGGAAAAGGCUUAUAGCCCAAAUCACAUAACCUAGGCCUUAAAACAGAAAGUUUGUGAUCCAAAACAAGCAAAAACUCAAAUACAAAGCCUAUGAACCAACCCAAGGCCCAAGCGCAGAACAUAAGCACAACCCAAACUCAUCUAGUAAACCCUUAACUUGCUUGGAGAGGGAAAAUUCUAGAAUCGCCUCUUGAAAAUGGUGGAGGCUAGCACAAUCGUCGACAAGGAAGAACCAUCACUUAUUGAAGUACAAAACGACCAAAACGACCAAAGAUCUUUAAAGGAAGAGCCACAAAAGAAAAAUACAAACAGAGCACAACCAUAAAACUUUAUUUGUGCCAAGAAGGGGGAUGCAAUAGGAGCUUGUUAGCGAAACUUAAAGCCAUAGAGGGUCGACUGUCCAUCUAAGAGAGAAUGGUUAAAGGUCUCGAGGUUCACUACAUCAAAGCUAAUGCACCCUUCAUAAAGCCAUUACCUUUACCUAUUAAGGUGCAUGCAGAUAAAGCAGGGUGAGAAAUAAGAGAAAAAAGAAACGCUUAGGGAAAGAGAACCCUUCUUUCCUCUCGAGCUAGCGGGAUUCAGUGAUGGAAAUUUUCCAAGAAGCUCUUGAUGACACUCAGAUGAACCUUAUAAGUAAAUGAAAGAAAAACAAAAUUAAACGAAGAAAAAUAAAGGAAAAAGCAGUAGAACCAGAAAAUCUACAAUAACCAUAGAUCUACACUAAAAACGAAGAGUUAUUUAUCCACAAACUCCACUUAGAGGCAGGGAGGGAAAAUCCACGCUCUAAAUAGGGAAAUA